rnacentral:lncRNA from 1 species
GGACGCCGAGUUCCCAGGGGGCUAAAAACGGUCUGGGAUGGGGGUGGCCAUCUCUCCUCCCUCUCAUCGUGUUGAAGGAGCUGGGGCCAAAGGUCAGGAUGACUUGGAAGGCAGGGAAGCAGAGUGAAGACAUGGAAGAUUGAAGAACUCUGGACAUAGCCUGGGGCUUCCACCUCAGAGUAUCAGGUGAGAAUCUUGUCCUCAGAAGACUGUGGGAAAGGGUCUAUUGUAGCCCAUUUUACAGAUAAAGAAACUGAGGGGCUGGAGAGAUGGCUCAGAGGUUAAGAGCACUGGCUGUUCUUCCAGACGUCCCAAGUUCAAUUCCCAGCAACCACAUGGUGGCUCACAACCAUCCGUUAUGAGAUCUGGUGCCCUCUUCUGGUGUGCAGAUAUACAUGGAAGCAGCAUGUUGUAUACAUAAUAAAUAAAUAAAAUCUUUAAAAAAAUGUUUUUAAUUUAAAAAAGAAAAUGACAG